UAAUUAUCCACAGAAAAUAUGAAUUGGAACGUGAUUUGAUAGUUUUAUCAUGAAAUUAAUACAUGAAUUUAAUUGAGUAGGACUUUAGCCCACAGGCAAGUUUUGCGUCACUGGAUUCAUAUCUUUGAAGCAUGAUUUAUGUUUGCUAGUUUCAAUUAUAAGCAUGUAUGUUUAAUUUUUAUGCAAUUAAGUAACCUGCAAAUUUCUCUGAUGUUAAAGUGAUAUUCCCGAACUAAAAGGUGAUAACUAUAAAGUUUGGAAGGAGAGGGUUCUUCUUCAUUUAGGGUGGAUAGACAUUGAUUAUGCCAUCAGGAAAUACGAACCAAAAAUUACUUCGACCAGCACUCUAGAUGAAAUUGCUCUUUAUGAACAUGGGAGCGAUCCAAUCGCCUUAGUAUGAAGUUCAUAAAUACCAAGAUUUCUACUGGCAUUCACGGUUCCGUCGAAGAGCAUAAAAAUGUGAAGGCAUUGUUGAAGGCUAUUGAUGAGCUAUUUGAUACUUCAGAUAAAGC
rnacentral:lncRNA from 1 species